AGCGCCAUGCUGCGAUUACAACACCCCGGGAGAUGAUGGAGCGGUCCUCGCUUGGCUCGCCAGCUUAAGAUGCCGCUGGGGAAGGAAAGCAAAAUGAAAGGCUGGUUGCAACAGGCGAUGAACCGGCGGCGUUGGGGAAACAAGUCCCGCCAGAGACUUGAGUUAUCUAUGGAGGGCCCCAGAGUUUGUCGGGAGACUCAGGGAGGGCAGAUGAAAUAAAAGCUCUCCUCUACCUCGCUGCACAUCGUUAACUUGCGGAACUCACUGCCACAAACUUGGCCACCAAAGUCGGAUGGCUUUUAAAAAGGAACAAGUGAAAUCAUCAACUGGGAAAUGGAUACAGGACGCAAGAUUGAAAUGGCAGCCUGGGAACGACUGCGGAAGCGCCCCAAAUGAUUUAUGCCCAGGGAUGGAAAAAGGAUAACAUCCCAAAGAAAUAUGGCAGCAAAAAUUGUUGGAAUAUGCAGAAACGACGAAACUUAAUGGAAGAAUAAGAAACCAAGAAGACGUUUUUCAUUCAGAGUGGAAAUAGUUUUAUUGAAUAUUUAAAACGUUAUUGUAAACAGAUUAAAUCAUUACCAGGAUUGAUAUAACGACGUAAUGAAAAAUAAUAAUUUUGAGUAUAUUGGAUAAAGAAUAAUUAGCUUUAACUUGGAUAUGCAGUGAAAAUAAUAAAAUAUAAGCAACUGCAGAAGGGGCGUCGAAAUCGGGUUUUUAAAUGUAAGAAAUAAAUCAAUUGGGGGGGAUGAAUGUACAAGUUCAUAGAGGAACUCUUCAUGGCGAGAGAACUGUUCACAAAGCAGAAAUGGCUUUUGAACACCAGGUGCCGGAAGCCACAGGAGAGAAGAGGGCUGCUUUUGUGUUCGAAUCCUGCUUGCUGGGGCAUCCAGAUGGCUUUUCUGACAUUCUUAGUUCCCCCUUAAAGGUCCCCUUUAAAGGGACGCGGGUGGCGCUGUGGGUUAAACCACAGAGCCUAGGACUUACCGAUCAGAAGAUCGGUGGUUCGAAUCCCUGCAACA